rnacentral:rRNA from 1 species
CCUACGGGAGGCAGCAGUGGGGAAUAUUGGGCAAUGGGCGAAAGCCUGACCCAGCAACGCCGCGUGAAGGAAGAAGGCUCUAGGGUUGUAAACUUCCUUUUACAGGGAAGAGCAGAAGACGGUAUCUGUCGAAUAAGCCACGGCUAACUACGAGCCAGCAGCCGCGGUAAUACGUAGGAGGCGAGUGUUAUCCGGAUUUAUUGGGUUUAACGGGUGAGCAGGCGGAAGAGGAAGUCAGCGGUAAAAUUGAGAGGCUCAACCUCUACGAGCCGUUGAAACUGGUUUUCUUGAGUGAGUGAGAAGUAUGCGGAAUGCGUGGUGUAGCGGUGAAAUGCAUAGAUAUCACGCAGAACUCCGAUUGCGAAGGCAGCAUACCGGCGCUCAACUGACGCUCAUGCACGAAAGUGUGGGUAUCGAACAGGAUUAGAUACCCCAGUAGUC